rnacentral:rRNA from 1 species
GGGGGAAAGGUCCGCCGCCUAAAGAGGGGCCCGCGUCAGAUUAGCUUGUUGGUAGGGUAAUGGCUUACCAAGGCUACGAUCUGUAGUUGGUCUGAGAGGAUGAUCAGCCACACUGGGACUGAGACACGGGCCAGACUCCUACGGGAGGCAGCAGUGGGGAAUAUUGGACAAUGGGGGCAACCCUGAUCCAGCAAUGCCGCGUGUGUGAUGAAGGCCCUAGGGUUGUAAAGCACUUUCAACGGUGACGAUGAUGACGGUAACCGUAGAAGAAGCCC